rnacentral:rRNA from 1 species
UACAGAGGGGGCAAGCGUUGUUCGGAAUUACUGGGCGUAAAGGGCGCGUAGGCGGCCUGUUAAGUCGAACGUGAAAUCCCCGGGCUCAACCCGGGAACUGCGUCCGAUACUGGCAGGCUUGAAUCCGGGAGAGGGAUGCGGAAUUCCAGGUGUAGCGGUGAAAUGCGUAGAUAUCUGGAGGAACACCGGUGGCGAAGGCGGCAUCCUGGACCGGCAUUGACGCUGAGGCGCGAAAGCCCAGGGG